rnacentral:rRNA from 1 species
GGUCUCAUUCCGAACCCGGAAGCUAAGACUCUUUGCGCCGAUGGUACUGCAGGGGGGACCCUGUGGGAGAGUAGGACACCGCCGGAC